AGUCACUGACAUUAGAUACCCUCGGUAGUCCCAGCCGUAAACAAUGUGCGUUAGGUGUGUCGGUAACCACGUGUUACUGAUGCGCCGAAGAGAAAUCGUGAAACGCACCACCUGGGAAGUACGGUCGCAAGGCUGAAACUUAAAGGAAUUGGCGGGGAGCACCACAACAGGUGGAGCCUGCGGUUUAAUUGGAUUCAACGCCGGACAUCUCACCGGAUAAGACAGCUGAAUGAUUGUCAAUCUGAAGGUUUUACAUGACUAGCUG
rnacentral:rRNA from 1 species